rnacentral:lncRNA from 1 species
UCUGAUAUGUCGCCGUCAGAGUGGUGGUUGGUGUUAUUUCCGGCGUUGCCAACGGAAUUAGCACGGGGUUCAAAUGGAGAACGGAGUCCAAAUGGAGAAAAGGAGACACAAGGUGUUUUCUGGAGAAUGAGGUUCACAAUGACGAUCGAGAGCUAUCGUCUGGCGACUGGGGUUCAAAUGGAGAACGGGGUUCACUGUUUGGCAGUAAGAGUGACAUGAAGUUGUCGGGGUUCAAAUGCGGUGAUCAGAGAUCAUCCGGGCGAAAGAAAAAUAUUUGUUUUG